CCGGCGAAAUCCGACGGUAGAGCUCGUUCAGUGAGUCUUUCCUUGCCCUUCCAAAUACAUGGUGGGCUGGCAGUGGUGUUGUCGAGUGAAACGAAGAAACUGACAGAUUUCGGAAACCCAAACGAGUAACUAAUCGAGCAAAAUUCAUUUCUUGAAACAAUGGCACCAAGAAAUGAAGAAAAUUUCCAGUUCAAAGAGAGAGAAGAUCGAGGAUAGGACACGGGUUUUGAGACCAGAGUACAUAGGGUUUAAAGAAGAUAAUGGGUUCUAGUAUUUG
rnacentral:misc_RNA from 1 species